rnacentral:rRNA from 1 species
UACGGGGGGGGCAAGCGUUGUUCGGAAUUACUGGGCGUAAAGGGCUCGUAGGCGGCCAACUAAGUCGGAUGUGAAAUCCCCAAGCUUAACUUGGGAACUGCAUCCGAUACUGGAUGGCUUGAAUCCGGGGAGAGGGAUGCAGAAUUCCAGGUGUAGCGGUGAAAUGCGUAGAUAUCUGGAGGAAUACCGGUGGCGAAGGCGGCAUCCUGGACCGGCAUUGACGCUGAGGAGCGAAAAGCUAGGGGAGCAAAGCGGG